rnacentral:rRNA from 1 species
CGGGAAGCCAUAUGGCGACAUAGAGCGGAACCCGAAAACCUGUCUCAGUUCGGAUUGGAGUCUGCAACCCGACUCCAUGAAGCUGGAUUCGCUAGUAAUCGCGCAUCAGCCACGGCGCGGUGAAUACGUUCCCGGGCCUUGUACACACCGCCCGUCAAGCCAUGGAAGCCGGGAGUGCCUGAAGUGCGUGAGCGCAAGCAGCGCCCUAAGGUAAAACCGGUGACUGGGGCUAAGUCGUAACAAGGUAUC